GGCGUGGUGGCCUAAUGGUUAGCGCGAUGGACUCCGGAUCGAGCACUCUGUGUUCAAACCCUGGCUGGGUCA